rnacentral:rRNA from 1 species
UACAGAGGUCCCAAGCGUUGUUCGGAUUCAUUGGGCGUAAAGCGUGCGCAGGCGGUUCGCUGUGUCCGAUGUGAAAGCCCCGGGCUUAACCUGGGAAUGGCAUUGGAAACUGGCGGGCUUGAGUGCGGCAGAGGGGGGUGGAAUUCCGCGUGUAGCAGUGAAAUGCGUAGAGAUGCGGAGGAACACCGAUGGCGAAGGCAGCCCCCUGGGUCGACACUGACGCCUCAGGCACGAAAGCGUGGGGAGCAAACAGG